rnacentral:lncRNA from 1 species
UUAGAUUCUAACAGUGUCAGAAGCAAAACCAAAACCCUAAAAAACAGUACAGUGAGAACGUACUUUAAGAAAUGAAAGUCAGUUUUAUGGUUGCUUAUGGUUAAGUUCUUUAACACAUAUGUAGGCUUCCACAUUUAAAAAGGCUACGUAUGCACUGACAAAACAAAUGCUAGGAGCUCAACACUUUUUAAUUUAUGCCUAUUUGUUUGGUGUCAACAAAUAAUUAAGAACCUAACUUCUGAGACAAAUUAUUUUUCUGCUGCAAUGUAUUUGAGAAAAUGUCAUUUACAGUGUUCUUCCUAUAGAAAGCUUUGAGAGGAUAUCAGCAUACCGGUCUGUAGUCUUCAAAACAUUAGGGGGCACCAUGAUCUCACAGGCUUAAAAUGAUAUAAGUUUAAGUACAGAUACUUUUCCUGUCCAAAGUAAACAGGAAACAGCAUAAAAUAGCAAAAUCAACUCCUGGAGUCACUCCCUAGUGUGAGAUUAUGAUACAGUUCUCAAUAAAAUUUCCAACAGAAGACAACCCAGACAUUUAGUAGAAUAUAGACUACACCCUCCUUUCUGUAAGAGUAAUAAAACUAACAGACUAAUGGAUGCAAUAUAAGCAGCUUGCUUUCGAGUCUUUAUUUAAAUCUUACAUUUUCCUUCAGGGUUUCAUUCUGGGAAUACGACAUUUUCAGCUCAAGCAUUAGUUCAAUCCAUAAAGUAAGUCUGUGUACAGGCAGGGAGCGCACAGAUGCAGCUUGGGAUGCAGCUGCUCUAAAUCCCUGGCACUGAAUUCGGUAUCAUGCUUGGGGUAAUCAUCACAAGGUAUCAGACUACACCACCAAACAUGCGUGUGUUGUAAUGAUGACAUGUAAACCUCACAGCACUACAGCAGCCAUUAACAGUGUCAGCUCUGACACGCAGACAUGGCAGACGGUUUACUUAGCAGGUGAUGUACUUAGCAGAUCUAUCUGGGAAGGAAUUGGAAAGAUGUGUGUCUGUGCAGAGAGAAGGUGUGUGUCUGUCCAAAGGGUUGCUGUUCUUGUAGAAGGACUACAGCUGUGACUUCAAGCACUGACUUGCAGGCCUGAAAAACAAGAUGCCUUGCUAUUGUUCCUCUGCGGCUGAAAUGAUGGUGUGCUUGACAUAACAGAUAAGAAACUGGACAGCAAGCAUGUAAGCAAGAUGCCUGUCACCCCUAGAAGACUAACACUGGUCUCCCUAGAGUUCGUGUGGUUUGACCUAGACACCUGAGGCCUUACUCACAUCAGCUGUGAAGGAUCAUUUUCAGUGGAAAUCCACACUAUAAAAAACUAGCCACAUGUAACAUUUAAGGAUAUAUGGUCUACUGCACAAAAUGAAAUAAUAUGGUAGUAGUGUGCUUUGAAUAUGGAUAAAGUAAUCAACCAACUAACAUUUCACAAUGGAAAAUGACUAGCAGUAGGCAAAAGUAUGACAUAAUACAUGAGAAACUC